UACACCCAGGUGCAGCGGCUGCGCAGCGCCGAGCCCCACGUGCUGCUGCUCGACGCCGGCGACCAGUACCAGGGCACCAUCUGGUUCACCGUGUACAAGGGAGCGGAGGUGGCGCACUUCAUGAACGCCCUGGGCUACGAUGCCAUGACACUGCUGUGUAAAUCUAAGAAAAGAAAGAAAUUUCCACAGAGGACCAGAAUGCUGAAAACGCUGGGGUUUCAGAGGACUUCAAUAAAACCAGUUUGGCAGCAGAGAUUUAGGAAGCAUCCAGCUUAAGAGACAAGGGACUCCUAGAACACGUGCAAGAGUUUAAGUCCAAGCUCCCAAGUACUCUGUUAAAGAUGCUGCCUUAUUUGUUGGACUGAAUUUUGGAGAAGGAGCAGAGAGGGUUACACAGUAAUGAAUAAGUAUAACCAGUUUGCGUAUUUAAGCAAACCCCUCCCCCAAGUUUAACCCUGUGUACUAUCCUUGAGGAAGGAAGUCUGUGGAGAAACUGGGAACCAGAACUUAGGAGCAUCAGAAGAGAAAGAACAGAGCAAGGGUCCAGGGCAAUCUGUGAAGUCCUGGCUGGGGAAGGGAAGGAGAGGUGUGGGCGAGUCUGGGGAACAGAGGCCUAACAAGACACUUUGUAUGAGAAGAGCACAGAGGUUGGCAAAGCACAAUGCUGGAUUUUUUCCUGGAAACUUGGAAAAAGAAGGACAGGAAAAGGUGAUAAGAGAGUGCAGUUGUUUUGUUUUCUUCAACAAGAAAGCUCAUUUUAGAGAGAGGAGAGAAGGGCAGAUGGCUGGGUUUAAGGUUAUCAGAACCUCUCAAAGCAGCAGCAAUUGAAAGGGAUCCCCAAGCCCCAGAGUUUAUGGGGUGCUCAGCAGAAGAAUGGUGGGUCCCAAGAACUCUGUGUGGCUUCACAGCCGGACCUGCCUGAUGCUUAGUACACAGUAAUGGCCAGAUAAAUAUUUAUCUAAUUGAAUUGUUAUUAGCCUACUUCUCCAUUUCCCCUCCAGAAGGGUAGAAUAAACCUUACAUGAGUUUGUUUUGAUUUCACAUAUAAACCACAACUUUGUAAACUUU